UUUGGGAGGCUGAGGUAGGAGGAUCGCUUUUGCCUGGGAGUUUGAGACUAAGCCUGGGCAACAAAGUGAGACCUCCGUCUCU
rnacentral:miRNA from 1 species